AUUGAACGCUGGCGGCAUGCCUUACACAUGCAAAUCGAACGGUAACGGGCCUUCGGGUGCCGACGAGUGGCGAACGGGUGAGUAAUACAUCGGAACGUGCCCGAUCGUGGGGGAUAACGAGGCGAAAGCUUUGCUAAUACCGCAUACGAUCUACGGAUGAAAGCAGGGGACCGCAAGGCCUUGCGCGGACGGAGCGGCCGAUGGCAGAUUAGGUAGUUGGUGGGAUAAAAGCUUACCAAGCCGACAAUCUGUAGCUGGUCUGAGAGGAUGAUCAGCCACACUGGGACUGAGACACGGCCCAGACUCCUACGGGAGGCAGCAGUGGGGAAUUUUGGACAAUGGGCGCAAGCCUGAUCCAGCCAUGCCGCGUGCAGGAUGAAGGCCUUCGGGUUGUAAACUGAUUUUGUACGGAACGAAAAGCCUUCUUUUAAUACAGGAGGGUCAUGACGGUACCGUAAGAAUAAGCACCGGCUAACUACGUG
rnacentral:rRNA from 1 species